UGGUUCUGGCAUCGAUGAAGAACGCAGCAAAAUGCGAUAAGUAAUGUGAAUUGCAGAAUUCAGUGAAUCAUCGAAUCUUUGAACGCACAUUGCGCCCGCCAGUAUUCUGGCGGGCAUGCCUGUUCGAGCGUCAUUUCAACCCUCAAGCACAGCUUGGUGUUGGGAUCUGCGGAGCAAUUCGCAGUCCCCAAAUCUAUUGGCGGUCACGUCGAGCGUCCAUAGCGUAGUAAUUACACCUCGCUACUGGUAAUCGUCGCGGCCACGCCGCUAAACCCCAACUUCUGAAUGUUGACCUCGGAUUAGGUAGGAAUACCCGCUGA
rnacentral:misc_RNA from 1 species